GCUCAGGGCCUAACCUGCGGAGGAACCCGGAAGUGACCGAGCCGGAUGUGGAAAACUGCGCCCUCUAGUGUACUUCCGAGGUCUUUCCAGGCUAACCCUGGACUCCUGACAGGCUUAGUUCUAGUAUCCCCAGAAUGACUGAAUACGACAAAAUAUAGUGUCUAUAAACAAGAAACAAGAAAAGAGCCAGGAGGUUGAAGACGGCCUUCAGAGGAUUGAUGCUGCUCUCAACUUCAGACACAGCAGGUACACCAAGAAUGCCUAACAGCGGAGCUGGAGGGAGAUUUCACUUACUGAAAGGUUGCUUGAGACAGUGUCUGACACAGAGACAACAGGACAUGGAAAAACAAGGAAGGCUGGCAGUGACCCUAGGACAGAACUCAUAGACUCAUCUGAUAUAUGAAACCCCAAAGCCAACAGCCUGUCCCAGUGUAAAUGGUCUUCUGCAGGAGCCUUCAUCAACCUUCCUUAGUCUUGGAUUUCCACAUGAGUCAUCUGGGGACAAAUCAACUUGACUCAAAAGGCAUUGAGGGUAACUGGACUGCUUCAACUAUUAGACUCUAGGACUGCUGACAACACAGUUGUUUUAAAGAAACAUAAUGCCUUUCAUAUUGACAAACAUAGAUCUGCCCUAGCUGGUCACCAAAGCAACAUAGGUAAAUCAGGCAGUUCUGUAGGAACACCACAUUUCAUCCAACCUGAGGGCUCACUGGUCAAAGGUAAAGAUAGAAGAUACCUCAAAGCAGAGCUUCCAGUAUUACUAUAGUGGGUCAUUAUUUAAAGAAACUGAAUUAUGUUUAUGCAUCAUUCCAUUCUUUUGUAACAUGUGACAUCAUGCCAUUCCUUCUCAGGGCAAUAACUGGAGUUCAGAAGGUAAAUAUGUAUUGUUGAAUAAGCAGUGAUGAAUAAUGGAAGUUUACUGCUAACAUUUUAGAGACAUGGAACGGAUACAGGAAUCUAAAAGAGCCUGUCAACUGUCCUGCCACAGGAGCAUGGAGAUCAGCUUCUAAUGUGCUUGUGAGUCUUUAGUUUAUUUUACGUCCUUAUUUCCUUUCUACACAAAACUCUUUCUACAAAUGACCCUGUACUGGCUGAGGAUUAUAAAAGAUUCACCAGCUUUUGACUAUAGUUGAUAAGGUCCCUGUUCUCACCUGUUAUUAUGGACAUAAAAUAGAUGUGCAUCCUA